rnacentral:rRNA from 1 species
AACCUCCGCAAUGUGAGAAAUCGCGACGGGGGGAUCCCAAGUGCCAUUCUUAACGGGAUGGCUUUUCAUUAGUGUAAAGAGCUUUUGGAAUAAGAGCUGGGCAAGACCGGUGCCAGCCGCCGCGGUAACACCGGCAGCUCUAGUGGUAGCAACUUUUAUUGGGCCUAAAGCGUCCGUAGCCGGUUUAAUAAGUCUCUGGUGAAAUCCUGUAGCUUAACUGUGGGAAUUGCUGGAGAUACUAUUAGACUUGAGACCGGGAGAGGUUAGAGGUACUCCCAGGGUAGAGGUGAAAUUCUGUAAUCCUGGGAGGACCGCCUGUUGCGAAGGCGUCUAACUGGAACGGUUCUGACGGUGAGGGACGAAAGUUAGGGGCGCGAACCGGAUUAGAUACCCGGGUAGUCCUAACUGUAAACGAUGCGGACUUGGUGUUGGGGUGGCUUUGAGCUGUCCCAGUGCCGAAGGGAAGCUGUUAAGUCCGCCGCCUGGGAGUACGGUCGCAAGACUGAAACUUAAAGGAAUU